rnacentral:rRNA from 1 species
AUUGAACGCUGGCGGCAGGCCUAACACAUGCAAGUCGAGCGGGGUUUUCGGACCUAGCGGCGGACGGGUGAGUAAUGCGUAGGAAGCUACCCGAUAGAGGGGGAUACCAGUUGGAAACGACUGUUAAUACCGCAUAAUGUCUACGGACCAAAGUGUGGGACCUUCGGGCCACAUGCUAUCGGAUGCGCCUACGUGGGAUUAGCUAGUUGGUGAGGUAAUGGCUCACCAAGGCGACGAUCCCUAGCUGGUUUGAGAGGAUGAUCAGCCACACUGGAACUGAGACACGGUCCAGACUCCUACGGGAGGCAGCAGUGGGGAAUAUUGGACAAUGGGCGCAAGCCUGAUCCAGCCAUGCCGCGUGUGUGAAGAAGGCCUUCGGGUUGUAAAGCACUUUCAGUAGGGAGGAAGGGUUAAGUGUUAAUAGUACUUAACUUUGACGUUACCUACAGAAGAAGCACCGGCUAACUCUGUGCCAGCCGCCGCCUAAUAC